UACAGAGGUCUCAAGCGUUAUUCGGAAUCACUGGGCGUAAAGGGUGCGUAGGCGGCGCGGAAAGUCAGGGGUGAAAUCCCGGAGCUCAACUCCGGAACUGCCUUUGAUACUCCCGUGCUAGAGAGCUGGAGGGGACAUCGGAAUUCACGGUGGAGCAGUGAAAUGCGUGGAUAUCGUGAGGAACACUAGUGGCGAAGGCGGAUGUCUGGACAGUAUCUGACGCUGAGGCACGAAGGCCAGGGGAGCGAACGGG
rnacentral:rRNA from 1 species